AAGAUGAGGUUCCUGAGCUUCCAGUAGGCGACUGACUGCCCAAGAGACCCAGGGCUCCGCAAGGAGACGGCGCAGGUGUCGGGGCUCCCCGCAGGCCGGGAAAAAGUGUCCGAACGCCUCGUGGACUGCAGCGGGGGAAAUGUCCCUUAAAAGUGCGACGAAGUGGGGAAGAAGGUGUAAUUACUAUUAUCAGCAUCUAGAAAGCAUCAUGAAUUUGCUGGAGUACUUCCUAGCACUGACCUCCUUCAUUCUGCGUUGUUCUUACUGGAUCUUUCCAUCAGCCAACAAUAUGGAAGUACCAAUACAAGGUCAAAUCAUUCCUGGAUUCAUCUGGAGUUGCUUAAAAGUUAAAUCAUUGGAAUUUUUGAUGAUACCUUUUCUAUAUGGAUUACAAUUUGAUCGCUGGGAAUUCUCCACCUUAAAGAAGACGCAAUUUCACCAUGUUACCCAGGCUGGUCUGGCACUCCUUGGCUCAAGCAAUAGCAGUCUGCCUGCUGCAGCUCUCCAAGUGCUGGGAUUACAGACUCUUUUGCUAUCUGGAAACCCAUGUCCACCUCUGACUUCCACUCAAAAUUGCUUUCCUCACAGUCUGACUGCGAGAGUUGUGAAAAAUUGGGAUGUGCUUCUGAGGUGGGCUGUGGAAUGCCAUGAGAGACGGGGUUUCACCGUGUUAGCCAGGAUGGUCUCAAUCUCCUGACCUCGUGAUCCGCCCACCUCGGCCUCCCAAAGUGCUGGGAUUACAGGCGUGAGCCACCAUGCCUGGUCCUAUAUUCCUUUUCAUUCCUGUCGAGUACCCUCAGGUGACUACAGAUGUGUUAACACCCAGCAUGUUCCGGUAGGAGACUUUCUGGAUGGGGAAGAUUUCCAGGUGUGAAUCAUGGCAAUACAGUGAAAGACAGUGAUUUACUGCUUUUGAGGGCGUGCAUGUAUAUGAUUAACGGAUGGAAGUGCAGGACUCCAAGAUUUACUUCCUUCCCUUUCCAGCAGAAUUACCUGAGACGAGUAAAAUCUACUGGUGGAGUCACUCCAUUAUUCUUAUCUGUGGAGAUCUAGAUCUUGAUUUGAAAGUUUCUGAGAAAAUCUUCAGCUCAGACUUGAGGGUCAACUUUACCAGCUGAAGGAUCUGCAUUUACUGCUCAACCACAUCUAAUUUGAUGUCCUCUGCAGAUUUAAAAUGUGUGCCUUCUUUUCCGUCACCAAGUCAUCCCUGGGUUACUACUGAACAUCCUUCUCAAUUCCCCCCGACCCAUGGAUGGCUGUUCUCCAUUGUCUGUUUCACCAGAUGUCCUCAAAACAAACAGACAGAAGAAGGAAGUGGCUAAUGGAGCUGUGGAGUCCAAGUGUGACUGCCAAGAGGAAUCCAGCAAAGCCAAAAAGCCCAAGCAUGUAGCCCUGCCCGAAGCACGCCACACGCAUGGAAAACCCAGAGGAAAUGAGUGAGGAUCAAUGGGAAGAAGAGAGCCAGCCAGGUCUGAAUGAUUUCAUGAAUAUUGUGGU
rnacentral:lncRNA from 1 species